AGAGUUUGAUCCUGGCUCAGGACGAACGCUGGCGGCGUGCCUAACACAUGCAAGUCGAACGGACGAGAGGGAGCUUGCUCCCUCAAGUUAGUGGCGGACGGGUGAGUAACGCGUGAGUAACCUGCCUUUCAGAGGGGAAUAACAUUCUGAAAAGGAUGCUAAUACCGCAUGACAUCGUAGUAUCGCAUGGUACAGCGAUCAAAGGAGCAAUCCGCUGAAAGAUGGACUCGCGUCCGAUUAGCUAGUUGGCGGGAUAAAGGCCCACCAAGGCGACGAUCGGUAGCCGGACUGAGAGGUUGAUCGGCCACAUUGGGACUGAGACACGGCCCAGACUCCUACGGGAGGCAGCAGUGGGGGAUAUUGCACAAUGGGGGAAACCCUGAUGCAGCAACGCCGCGUGAAGGAAGAAGUAAUUCGUUAUGUAAACUUCUGUCAUAGAGGAAGAACGGUGGAUAUAGGGAAUGAUAUCCAAGUGACGGUACUCUAUAAGAAAGCCACGGCUAACUACGUGCCAGCAGCCGCGGUAAUACGUAGGUGGCGAGCGUUAUCCGGAAUUAUUGGGCGUAAAGAGGGAGCAGGCGGCACUAAGGGUCUGUGGUGAAAGAUCGAAGCUUAACUUCGGUAAGCCAUGGAAACCGUAGAGCUAGAGUGUGUGAGAGGAUCGUGGAAUUCCAUGUGUAGCGGUGAAAUGCGUAGAUAUAUGGAGGAACACCAGUGGCGAAGGCGACGAUCUGGCGCAUAACUGACGCUCAGUCCCGAAAGCGUGGGGAGCAAAUAGGAUUAGAUACCCUAGUAGUCCACGCCGUAAACGAUGAAGUACUAGUGGUGGGUGGCAAAGCUCCGUGCCUCAAUUUAACCCAAUAAGUACUCCGCCCCUGAGUAUGUACUUUCGCAAGAUUUGUAAUUCCAUGGGUUUGAUUGGAGUCACUCACAGAGCGGUGGGUGCAUGUGGUUUAAUUUGAAAGCAAGGGGAAGAUCCUUCACAGGUCGUGACAUCGUUGUAAAGGCUCCAGAGAUGGAGAGAUAGUCUAUAGAGAAGACAGAUGGUGCAUGGUUUUCGUCAGCUCGUGUCGUGAGAUUUUGGGUUAAGUCCCGCAACGAGCGCAACCCUUGUUUUUAGUUGCUACGCAUGAGCACUCUAAUAGGACUGCCGUAGACAAAACGGAGGAAGGUGGGGACGACGUCAAAUCAUCAUGCCCCUUUUGAUCUGGGCUACACACGUAAUACAAUGGACAUUAACAGAGGGAAGCAAUACAGUGAUGUGGAGCAAACCCCUAAAAAUGUUCUCAGUUCGGAUUGCAGGACUGCAACCCGCCGGGAGGAAGAUGGAAUUGCUAGUAAUCGCAGAUCAGCAUGCUGCGGUGAAUACGUUCCCGGGCCUUGUACACACCGCCCGUCAA
rnacentral:rRNA from 1 species